GACUUAUUGGGGGGCGGGGGGUAAUUUAGGUUCCCAAGAUAUGACUACCUUUUGUUGCUGGAAAACUUACUUCUUUCAACUUUGUUGCCUAAAAUUCAUGCAAUAUAUAGCUUAAUUCAUAACUUACCAAUCCUGUCAUGGUUGAAAAAUUAUUGUCACAGCUUACGAAGUUAUUCAGCUAUAAGGAUUUCAAAAACUAUUGGGAGGAGGUUGCCCAUCCCCCCCCCCCCCAUCCGCCACUGGUCUGCAGUACUGGAUGUAAAAAUGUGCAGUACUGAAAAUAUUUCCAGUAUUACAAAAAAGUGAUAUAGCAACGUCAAGAGGCAGGGGUUAUAUAUUCAGGCUCAUUUAAAAAUAGGCAGUUCUCAAAUUGAGAUUUGCUACCUUCUGAAAUAUUUAUACAAUAUCCAUAAAUAGCAUUUCACAAUCUUCAGAUUUCGAAAUCUCAAUGAAGGACCCUGCGACAAUUGUCAUAUUGUUAUCGAACUUUCCAAGGUAGAAUAUUUUUUAUAAGAAGUUUAUUUACAAAGAUUACAUAACUUAUCAUCUAACACUAGAUAUGACGUUUGAGAAUACGAUGAAAACAUUGAUCCUUAUUUAGGUUGCCACAGGCAACAGGUAAUAUUCAAAUGUGCAACUCAUCCACUGUUUUCAAUACAAAAACGCAACUCUACUGCAUGGAUAAACAUUUUCGCUCUAAACUCUUCUCCAGCUAAAGAUCUAGUUACUCAGGUCUAGUAUAUCUUGUGUUACUUGCGAAGGAAACAAGCGUGCUCAAAAGCACUCUUUUCUAAAGAUGCGAUUAAAUCAGUUACAUAAUCUGAAGGAAUCGAAGCUCUGAAGCACUUCAUCCCCAACUGACUGACUAGCACCCAGUUUUAGUUAAACACGCUCAAAUAUAUAUAGGGCGUAAGGUACACACUGUCUAAAAACAUUAUUAGUAUACAAAUUGAUAUCCUUGUUAUGUUUACUGGAUUAUCAAAGGACGCCUCAAGCCUCCUACUCAAAUAAAUAAUACGCCCUCGUGUUAAAAAUUGUUACAAUUGCAAGCGUUUGUCCAAUAGCAAUGCACCAUUAUAUUAUGCUUUAUUGACUGAAUGCUGCUCUGAACCGACAACGGGUAAACAACUUAAAAACGCGUUAGAAGUUUAUAUAUAGAGUUGAAGUUCUGAUUUAGUUUUCUUGAAAACAAUAUUGAGGACUUAAGCUCGUUGAAACUGUCAUUCCAUUAAGAACCAUUUCCAUUAAGAACCAUUCCCAUAGGAACAGAAAGAGAAGACUUCGAACAUGACACUGAAAAAGUUAACCAGAAAUCAUAAUGAUUCUCUUCAUCAAACUGUCACUGAUUAUGUCCUAAAGCAAACAUUAUAUAACGGUUUAGCUACUUCUAAAGCUUGAGAUUGAUAAGGGUACAACUAUUCCUCAAAAAUACAAGGAGAAUUUCGUCGUUUUAAGCGAAGGCCCUUCGGAAGUUUUUUUUUUUCAUGUAUACUUUCUUAUUAUUCAUGGCACUACCUUCACUGGCAAACUGACA